rnacentral:rRNA from 1 species
UACGGGAGGUAGCAGUGGGGAAUAUUGCACAAUGGGCGAAAGCCUGAUGCAGCUAUGCCGCGUGUAUGAAGAAGGCCUUAGGGUUGUAAAGUACUUUCAUCGGGGAGGAAAAACAAAACUAAUAAUUUUAUUUCUUGACGUUACCCGAAAAAGAAGCACCGGCUAACUCCGUGCCAGCAGCCGCGGUAAUACGGAGGGUGCUAGCGUUAAUCAGAAUUACUGGGCGUAAAGAGCACGUAGGUGGUUUUUUUAAGUCAGAUGUGAAAUCCCUGGGCUUAACCUAGGAACUGCAUUUUGAAACUGAAAUACUAGAGUAUCGUAGAGGGAGGUAGAAUUCUAGGUGUAGCGGUGAAAUGCGUAGAUAUCUGGAGGAAUACCUGUGGCGAAAGCGGCCUCCUAAACGAAUACUGACACUGAGGUGCGAAAGCGUGGGGAGCAAACAGGGAUUAGAUACC